rnacentral:rRNA from 1 species
AUUGAACGCUGGCGGCAUGCCUUACACAUGCAAGUCGAACGGCAGCACGGGUGCUUGCACCUGGUGGCGAGUGGCGAACGGGUGAGUAAUAUAUCGGAACGUACCUUAUUGUGGGGGAUAACGCAGCGAAAGCUGUGCUAAUACCGCAUAAUCCCUAAGGGGGAAAGCGGGGGACCGUAAGGCCUCGCGCAAUUAGAGCGGCCGAUACCUGAUUAGAUAGUUGGUGAGGUAAAGGCGCACCAAGGCAACGAUCAGUAGCUGGUCUGAGAGGACGAGCAGCCACCCUGGGACUGAGACACGGCCCAGACUCCUACGGGAGGCAGCAGUGGGGAAUUUUGGACAAUGGGGGCAACCCUGAUCCAGCAAUGCCGCGUGAGUGAAGAAGGCCUUCGGGUUGUAAAGCUCUUUUGUCAGGGAAGAAACAGCAGCUCUAACACAGUUUGCGAAUGACGGUACCUGAAGAAUAAGCACCGGCUAACUACGUGCCAGCCGCCGCAGUAA